rfam:Stegodyphus mimosarum contig62802, whole genome shotgun sequence.
GCCUUCGUGGUGUAGUGGUCAGCACGCUGGACGCGUAACCGAGAGGUCCGUGGUUCAACUCCCGGUGAAGGCG